UGCUUCGCUGACGAGUGGCGGACGGGUGAGUAAUGUCUGGGAAACUGCCUGAUGGAGGGGGAUAACUACUGGAAACGGUAGCUAAUACCGCAUAAUGUCGCAAGACCAAAGAGGGGGACCUUCGGGCCUCUUGCCAUCGGAUGUGCCCAGAUGGGAUUAGCUAGUAGGUGGGGUAACGGCUCACCUAGGCGACGAUCCCUAGCUGGUCUGAGAGGAUGACCAGCCACACUGGAACUGAGACACGGUCCAGACUCCUACGGGAGGCAGCAGUGGGGAAUAUUGCACAAUGGGCGCAAGCCUGAUGCAGCCAUGCCGCGUGUAUGAAGAAGGCCUUCGGGUUGUAAAGUACUUUCAGCGGGGAGGAAGGCGAUAAGGUUAAUAACCUUGUCGAUUGACGUUACCCGCAGAAGAAGCACCGGCUAACUCCGUGCCAGCAGCCGCGGUAAUACGGAGGGUGCAAGCGUUAAUCGGAAUUACUGGGCGUAAAGCGCACGCAGGCGGUCUGUCAAGUCGGAUGUGAAAUCCCCGGGCUCAACCUGGGAACUGCAUUCGAAACUGGCAGGCUAGAGUCUUGUAGAGGGGGGUAGAAUUCCAGGUGUAACGGUGAAAUGCGUAGAGAUCUGGAGGAAUAC
rnacentral:rRNA from 1 species